rnacentral:rRNA from 1 species
GACGAACGCUGGCGGCGUGCUUAACACAUGCAAGUCGAACGAAGAGCGAUGGAAGCUUGCUUCUAUCAAUCUUAGUGGCGAACGGGUGAGUAACGCGUAAUCAACCUGCCCUUCAGAGGGGGACAACAGUUGGAAACGACUGCUAAUACCGCAUACGAUCUAAACUCGGCAUCGAGGAUAGAUGAAAGGUGGCCUCUACAUGUAAGCUAUCACUGAAGGAGGGGAUUGCGUCUGAUUAGCUAGUUGGAGGGGUAACGGCCCACCAAGGCGAUGAUCAGUAGCCGGUCUGAGAGGAUGAACGGCCACAUUGGGACUGAGACACGGCCCAGACUCCUACGGGAGGCAGCAGUGGGGAAUCUUCCGCAAUGGACGAAAGUCUGACGGAGCAACGCCGCGUGAGUGAUGACGGCCGUCGGGUUGUAAAGCUCUGUUAAUCGGGACGAAAGGCCUUCUUGCGAAUAGUGAGAAGGAUUGACGGUACCGGAAUAGAAAGCCACGGCUAACUACGUG